UCCAUCCAAAUACACUACACAAUGCAUGAAACUAAGCUGUUAGAUCCAAUUCAAACGAUAACUAUAACUAGUACUAAUUAUUUCAUCUACAUAGUAUGCCCACAAGUAUUAAUGAUUACUAUUUGCAUGUUUGAGAUUGGUGAUCAAAUGGACCAUAUCUAAUCAUAAUUCUUUAAUCCAUUGAUUUUUGAAGAUUUUCUAUGAUAUCCCUUCAUAAUUGUUCUGGUAAUUAGGUAAUAGGCAAUUAUUGCCUUAGUAAAUAGUAAUUUUCCAUUUCAUAUAUCGAUGAUGAUAAUUUUGCGAUGUGCAGGCAAGCAAGAAGACGAUGGUAUCAAAUGUGAGUAAGAAUAAAGUGGCGCAGAAGGAUUGCCUACAUCUCCAUAGUUGAACAUUCUACGUCAGCAUGACAUCAGAUCCAACUCGAGCACAGGGUCGGACAAGGAUUGCUCUGGUUACCUAGUCCGGCACACUUGGGUACAUCCAAUUGCCUGACUUUUGGACAUGGACUGGAGAUGUUUUGGACAUCUUUUGGGCAAUAAUUGCCCAUUGCCGGCCUUUGGGCCUGGAGUGGACUUGCUCUUAGAGUAUCA
rnacentral:sRNA from 1 species